rnacentral:rRNA from 1 species
GUUGACCUCGAAUCAGGUAGGAAUACCCGCUGAACUUAAGC